rnacentral:rRNA from 1 species
GACGAACGCUGGCGGCGUGCCUAAUACAUGCAAGUAGAACGCUGAAGAGAGGAGCUUGCUCUUCUUGGAUGAGUUGCGAACGGGUGAGUAACGCGUAGGUAACCUGCCUUGUAGCGGGGGAUAACUAUUGGAAACGAUAGCUAAUACCGCAUAACAAUGGAUGACACAUGUCAUUUAUUUGAAAGGAGCAAUUGCUCCACUACAAGAUGGACCUGCGUUGUAUUAGCUAGUAGGUGAGGUAAUGGCUCACCUAGGCGACGAUACAUAGCCGACCUGAGAGGGUGAUCGGCCACACUGGGACUGAGACACGGCCCAGACUCCUACGGGAGGCAGCAGUAGGGAAUCUUCGGCAAUGGGGGCAACCCUGACCGAGCAACGCCGCGUGAGUGAAGAAGGUUUUCGGAUCGUAAAGCUCUGUUGUAAGUCAAGAACGGGUGUGAGAGUGGAAAGUUCACACUGUGACGGUAGCUUACCAGAAAGGGACGGCUAACUACGUGCCAGCAGCCGCGGUAC